rnacentral:rRNA from 1 species
GUAGGUGGCAAGCGUUGUCCGGAAUUAUUGGGCGUAAAGCGCGCGCAGGCGGUUCUUUAAGUCUGAUGUGAAAGCCCACGGGCUCAACCGUGGGGGGUCAUUGGAAACUGGAGAACUUGAGUACAGAAGAGGAAAGCGGAAUUCCACGUGUAGCGGUGAAAUGCGUAGAGAUGUGGAGGAACACCAGUGGCGAAGGCGGCUUUCUGGUCUGUAACUGACGCUGAGGCGCGAAAGCGUGGGGAGCAAACAGGAUUAGAUACCCUGGUAGUCCACGCCGUAAACGAUGAGUGCUAAGUGUUAGGGGGUUUCCGCCCCUUAGUGCUGCAGCUAACGCAUUAAGCACUCCGCCUGGGGAGUACGGCCGCAAAGGCUG